rnacentral:snRNA from 1 species
UAUCACAAUCCCGUGUAAGUUAA